AUUGAACGCUGGCGGCAUGCCUUACACAUGCAAGUCGAACGGUAGAGUAGCAAUACUUGAGAGUGGCGAACGGGUGAGUAAUAUAUCGGAACGUGCCCAGUCGUGGGGGAUAACGUAGAGAAAUUUACGCUAAUACCGCAUACGAUCUAAGGAUGAAAGCGGGGGAUUCGCAAGAACCUCGCGCGAUUGGAGCGGCUGAUAUCAGAUUAGGUUGUUGGUGAGGUAAAAGCUCACCAAGCCGACGAUCUGUAGCUGGUUUGAGAGAACGACCAGCCACACUGGGACUGAGACACGGCCCAGACUCCUACGGGAGGCAGCAGUGGGGAAUUUUGGACAAUGGGCGAAAGCCUGAUCCAGCAAAUGCCGCGUGCAGGAAGAAGGCC
rnacentral:rRNA from 1 species